AACGAACGCUGGCGGCGUGCCUAACACAUGCAAGUCGAGCGCGAAAGUUCCUUCGGGAAUGAGUAGAGCGGCGGACGGGUGAGUAAUACGUGGGUAAUCUGCCCCCGAGCUCGGGAUAACAGUGCGAAAGCGCUGCUAAUACCGGAUAAGACCACAUGACAUAUGUCGUGCGGUAAAAGGUGGCUUUAUUUUCGGAUGAGGCUAUCACUUGAGGAUGAGCCCAUGGCCUAUCAGCUUGUUGGUGAGGUAAAAGCUCACCAAGGCGAUGACGGGUAGCUGGUCUAAGAGGACGACCAGCCACACUGGGACUGAGACACGGCCCAGACUCCUACGGGAGGCAGCAGUGGGGAAUAUUGGGCAAUGGGCGAAAGCCUGACCCAGCGACGCCGUGUGGGCGAUGAAGGCCUUCGGGUUGUAAAGCCCUGUGAGGUGGAAAGAAGGGUCCAGAGGUUAAUACCCUUUGGACUUUGACGGUACCACCAGAGGAAGCACCGGCUAACUCCGUGCCAGCAGCCGCCGUAAAAC
rnacentral:rRNA from 1 species